UACGAGCGGCCCAAACGUUAUUCGGAAUUACUGGGCGUAAAGGGCUCGUAGGCGGCCAACUAAGUCAGACGUGAAAUCCCUCGGCUUAACCGGGGAACUGCGUCUGAUACUGGAUGGCUUGAGGUUGGGAGAGGGAUGCGGAAUUCCAGGUGUAGCGGUGAAAUGCGUAGAUAUCUGGAGGAACACCGGUGGCGAAGGCGGCAUCCUGGACCAAUUCUGACGCUGAGGAGCGAAAGCCAGGGGAGCAAACGGG
rnacentral:rRNA from 1 species